CCUACGGGAGACAGCAGUGAGGAAUAUUGGUCAAUGGGCGCGAGCCUGAACCAGCCAAGUAGCGUGAAGGAUGACUGCCCUACGGGUUGUAAACUUCUUUUAUAAAGGAAUACAGUGAGGAACGUGUGUCUUUUUGUAUGUACUUUAUGAAUAAGGAACGGCUAACUCCGUGCCAGCAGACGCGGGAAUACGGAGGAUCCGAGCGUUAUCCGGAUUUAUUGGGUUGAAAGGGAGCGUAGAUGGGUGGUUAAGUCAGUUGGGAAAGUUUGCGGCUAAACCGUAAAAUUGCAAUUGAUACUAGCAGCCUUGAGUACAGUUGAGGUAAGCGGAAUUCGUUGUGAAGCGGUGAAAUGCUUAGAUAUCUCGAAGAACUCCGAUUGCGAAGGCAGCCUACUAAACUGCCACUGACAUUGAUGCUCGAAAGUGUGGGUAGCAAACAGGAUUAGAUACCCUUGUAGUC
rnacentral:rRNA from 1 species